rnacentral:rRNA from 1 species
CCUACGGGUCGCAGCAGUAGGGAAUCUUCGGCAAUGGACGAAAGUCUGACCGAGCAACGCCGCGUGAGUGAAGAAGGUUUUCGGAUCGUAAAACUCUGUUGUUAGAGAAGAACAAGGACGUUAGUAACUGAACGUCCCCUAACGGUAUCUAACCAGAAAGCCACGGCUAACUACGUGCCAGCAGCCGCGGUAAUACGUAGGUGGCAAGCGUUGUCCGGAUUUAUUGGGCGUAAAGCGAGCGCAGGCGGUUUCUUAAGUCUGAUGUGAAAGCCCCCGGCUCAACCGGGGAGGGUCAUUGGAAACUGGGAGACUUGAGUGCAGAAGAGGAGAGUGGGAUUCCAUGUGUAGCGGUGAAAUGCGUAGAUAUAUGGAGGAACACCAGUGGCGAAGGCGACUCUCUGGUCUGUAACUGACGCUGAGGCUCGAAAGCGUGGGGAGCAAACAGGAUUAGAUACCCCUGUAGUC